rnacentral:rRNA from 1 species
AGUGAACGCUGGCGGUAGGCCUAACACAUGCAAGUCGAACGGCAGCACAGUAAGAGCUUGCUCUUACGGGUGGCGAGUGGCGGACGGGUGAGGAAUACAUCGGAAUCUACUUUUUCGUGGGGGAUAACGUAGGGAAACUUACGCUAAUACCGCAUACGACCUCCGGGUGAAAGCAGGGGAUCUUCGGACCUUGCGCGAUUGAAUGAGCCGAUGGCGGAUUAGCUAGUUGGCGGGGUAAAGGCCCACCAAGGCGACGAUCCGUAGCUGUUCUGAGAGGAUGAUCAGCCACACUGGAACUGAGACACGGUCCAGACUCCUACGGGAGGCAGCAGUGGGGAAUAUUGGGCAAUGGGCGGAAGCCUGAUCCAGCCAUACCGCGUGGGUGAAGAAGGCCUUCGGGUUGUAAAGCCCUUUUGUUGGGAAAGAAAAGCAGGAGGGUAAUACCCCGCUGUUCUGACGGUACCCAAAGAAAAAGCAACGGCUAACUUCGUG